rnacentral:rRNA from 1 species
CCUCGGAUCAGGUAGGGAUACCCGCUGAACUUAAGCAUAUCAAUAAGCGGAGGAAAAGAAACCAACAGGGAUUGCCUCAGUAACGGCGAGUGA